rnacentral:rRNA from 1 species
GACGAACGCUGGCGGCGUGCUUAACACAUGCAAGUCGAACGGAAAGGCCCUUCGGGGUGCUCGAGUGGCGAACGGGUGAGUAACACGUGGGUGAUCUGCCCUGCACUUUGGGAUAAGCCUGGGAAACUGGGUCUAAUACCGGAUAGGACUACGGCCUGCAUGGGUUGUGGUGGAAAGCUUUUGCGGUGUGGGAUGGGCCCGCGGCCUAUCAGCUUGUUGGUGGGGUGAGGGCCUACCAAGGCGACGACGGGUAGCCGGCCUGAGAGGGUGUCCGGCCACACUGGGACUGAGAUACGGCCCAGACUCCUACGGGAGGCAGCAGUGGGGAAUAUUGCACAAUGGGCGCAAGCCUGAUGCAGCGACGCCGCGUGAGGGAUGACGGCCUUCGGGUUGUAAACCUCUUUCAGUAGGGACGAAGCGCGAGUGACGGUACCUACAGAAGAAGCACCGGCCAACUACGUGCCAGCAGCCGCGGUAAAAC